UCCUGGAGGAGAUCAUGCUAGAGCACUUUUUCAAUGGGCUCCCCAACGACAAGGCGACCAUGCAUUCGUAUGUCUUCCAUAUCAACUUUCGAUGCCACUUUCUGCGCCUACCAUGGUGACCACGGGUAACGGGGAAUCAGGGUUUGAUUCCGGAGAGGGAGCCUGAGAAAUGGCUACCACAUGCAAAGAAGGCAGCAGGCGCGCAAAUGACCCACUCCCGACGCGGGAAGGUGGUGACGA